rnacentral:rRNA from 1 species
CCUACGGGUGGCAGCAGUGGGGAAUAUUGGACAAUGGACGAGAGUCUGAACCAGCCAAGUAGCGUGAAGGAUGACUGCCCUAUGGGUUGUAAACUUCUUUUAUAUGGGAAUAAAAUGUUCCACGUGUGGGAUUUUGUAUGUACCAUAUGAAUAAGGAUCGGCUAACUCCGUGCCAGCAGCCGCGGUAAUACGGAGGAUCCGAGCGUUAUCCGGAUUUAUUGGGUUUAAAGGGAGCGUAGGUGGAUUGUUAAGUCAGUUGUGAAAGUUUGCGGCUCAACCGUAAAAUUGCAGUUGAAACUGGCAGUCUUGAGUACAGUAGAGGUGGGCGGAAUUCGUGGUGUAGCGGUGAAAUGCUUAGAUAUCACGAAGAACUCCGAUUGCGAAGGCAGUUCACUGGACUGCAACUGACACUGAGGCUCGAAAGUGUGGGUAUCAAACAGGAUUAGAUACCCUUGUAGUC